GAAUUGGAACUGUAGCUGCCAGCCUACACCACAGCUCACGGUUACGCCAGAUCCUUAACCCACUGAGCAAGGCCAGGGAUCAAACCCAAGUCCUCAUGGAUAGUAGUUGGGUCCGUUAACCACUGAGCCACAACAGGAACUUCUAUUUGUAGACUUUUUAAUGAUGGCCAUUCUGGCUGGCUUGAGGUGAUACCUCUUGGUAGUUUUGACUUGCAUUUCUCUAAUAAUUGGUAAUAUUGAACAUCUUUUCAUAUGCCUGUUGGCCAUCUGUAUGUCUUCUUUGGAGGAAUGUUUGCUUAGAUCUUCUGCCCAUUUUUUGAUUGGGUUGUUUUUUCAAUAUUGAGAUGUAUGAGCUGUUUGUAUAUUUUGGAGAUUAAUCCCUUGUCAGUUGCUUCAUUUGCAAGUAUUUUUCCCAUGCUGUGGGUUGUCUUUUCAUAUUUUAAAUGAUUUCUUUUGCUGUGCAAAGGACUUUAGGUUUAAUUAGGCCCCAUUAGUUUAUUUUUGUUUUUAUUUUUAUUACUCUAGGAGACAAAGCCCAGAACAUAUUGCUAUGAUUUGUGUCAGAAUAUUUUGCCAAUGUUUUUCUCUAGGAGUCUUAUAGUAUCCAGUUUUAUGUUUAGGUCUAUAAUUCAUUUUGAGUUUAUGUUUAUGUAUGGUGUUAGAGAAUGUUAUAAUUUUAUUCUUUUACCUGUAGCUGUCCAGUUUUCCCAGGACCACUUAUUGAUGAGGCUGUCUUUUCUCCAUUGUAUAUGCUUUCCUCCCUUGUCAUAGAUUAACUGACUAUAAGUAUGUGGGUUUAUUUCUGAGUUUUCUAUCCUUUGAUAGAAAGGAUAGAGCUAUAUUCCAUUGAUCUAUAUUUCUGGUUUUGUGCCAGUACCAUAUUGUUUUGAUAACUGUAGCUUUGUAAUAUGGUCUGAAGUCAAGGAGCCUGAUUCCUCCAGCUCUAUUUUUCUUUCUCAAGAUCUCUUUGGCUAUUCAGGGUCUUUUGUGUUGCCAUACAAAUUAUUAAAAUUAUUUGUUAUAUUUCUGCAAAAAUGCCAUUGGUAAUUUGAUAGGAAUUGCAUUGAAUCUAUAGAUUACCUAGAGUAGUAUAGUCAUUUUUACAAUAUUGAUUCUUCCAGUUCAAGAACAGAAUAUAUCUUUCCACCUGUUUGUGUCAUCAACAAAUCAAAAUUUGUUUCAUCAGGGUCUUAGAGUUUUCAGAGUACAGGUCUUUUACCUCCUUAGGUAUGUUUAUUCCUAGAUAUUUUAUUCUUUUUUGAUGUGAAGGUAAUUGGGAUUGUUUCCUUAAUUUCUCUUUCUUAUAUUUCAUUGUUAGUAUAUGAAAUGCAAGAGAUUUUAUAUAUAUGAAUUUGGUGUUCUGCAACUUUACCAAAUUCAUUGAUGAGCUCUAGUAGUUUUCUGUUAGCAUCUUUAGGGUUUUCUAUGUUUUUAUUUAUUUCUAUCUAUCUACUUAGUUACUAUGUAUCUUUUUAUCCAUUGGCUUUGUAAGUAUUGUAAAGACUGUGUGGAACCUCAUACCACCUUCCUAGAUCCUUAGGUGGAAGCUGCAGAACCACAUUUUAAGAAAUAGAUUAGUUAUCCUUUGUAGGAGCUUUCUUAUUUUCUCUGUGUGUGUGUUUGUGUGUGUGUGUGUGUGUGUGUCUGUGUAUCAGAGACUGUUAAUUAUAUCCCAAUAUCCAGUCUUCUCUUUUCACAUAAAAAUAGAAUUAUUGGCUGGACACAACCAAAAAGCACAUUUCCCAUCCUCCAGUGCAGCUAGACAUAGCUGUAUAACUAAGUUCAAGUGAAUGAGAUGUGAGGGAAAAAAAUGUUUGUGUGUUCUUAGACAAAGGAGAUGAGCACACUUUUUACCCUUUUCCACAUCUUUCUGGGAAAGUGGAAAUAAUGGUAAAGGCUGGAUUGCCCUCUUGGACCAUAAAUGGAUACCAUGUGCUGAAAUGGGUAUGUCAUCAAAAUAGAAGCAGUCUGGGUCUCUGAUGACUGCAGGACUACCAUACCAGGCCUGUGUGCUUAGCUGAAUUCUAACGUAAGUACAUGUCUUGGUUAAUUCAGGUUUACUUUGAAGCUCUCUAUUACAACAGCUAAAAUGUGAAGUCACUAACAUCUAGAAAGCCCCUGGGGGAACAUGACUACAUGAAUAUGGAUAUGAUCACACAAGGAAAGGUAGGAUAAUGCAGUAAAAAGAGCACUGGACUCAAAAUAAGGUUAUUGGCUUACCUCUAGUCAGCUUUGUGACCCCAGGAAAGUCUGUAUUCUUUGUGUCCUCAUCCAUAAAACCAGGUGGUUUGUUUUGUUUUGUUUUGUUUUUUUGGGCCGUACCUGCAGUCUAUGGAAAUUCCCAGGCUAGGGGUUGAAUCAGAGCUGCAGCUGCCAGCCUAUGCCACAGCCACACAGCAAUGCUGGAUCCUUAACCCACUGAGCGAGGCCAGGGAUCUACCUGCAUCCUCAUGGAUACUAAUCAUGUUCUUAACCUGCUGAGCCACAAUGGAAACUCCAAACUCAUUAAAAAUAAAAAUUUUUAAACUAGAAAACAAAAGAUUCCAUGCAGCUCUGAUUUGACCCCUGGCCUGGGAAGUUCCAUAUGCUGCAGCUUCAGCCCUAAAAAUGAAAUGAAAUGAAAAAGAAAACAAAAAGCAUCUGGUUUCAGAAGUGCUUCAAUAAAUUCAUUUUCAUUGAAAAGCAAUUCAAUAAAAAUUUUAAAUACAUAAGCUUGAACCUUUGGUGCCAACCUUCUCUAAUAAAAUAAUAAGAUUAUAGACCUCUUCAGCAGCUGCAUCAUUUGCCCAGAGCUAAGAAUUCCCCGUAGAUUUAACUUUUUAAAAUCUUCCCAAUGGGUGCCAUUAUUACCGCCAUUUCAAAGAUAAGAAAUUUGAGGGUCAAGGACAGUAAGUACCUUGUCCUGUCCUGCAGUUAGUUAGUCCUACCCUGCCCCCAUAACUACACCUAACUAGUCACUGAAGCAUAUUAGGAAAUCAGUAGUAUUUACUGGCCAUUGGCUGCAUGGCCUCUUUAUCCAUUGUGACUAGGGGGCAUUCUUAAACUUUAAAAUGAAUAAACAGGAGUUCCCGUCAUAGCCCAGUGGAGACAAAUCUCACUCGUAUCCAUGAGGAUGCAAGUUCGACCCCUGGCAUUGCCCAGUAGGUUAAGGGUCCUGUGUUUCUGUGAGCUGUGGUGUAGGUCUCAGACGCAGCUCGGAUCCCAUGUUGCUGUGGCUGUGGUGUAGGCCAGCAGCUAUAGUUCCGAUUCGACCCCUAGCCUGGGAACCUCCAUAUGCUGUGGGUGCAGCCCUAAAAAAGACAAGAUAAAAAACAAAUUAAUUAAUUAAUUAAAGUGAAUAAGCGGCUCUUGCAAAUGUGCCCACUAGAUUAAGGUGACAUGUGGAGCCAUCAUUGUGAAUCAUCUAAGCAACACAGGGAAACUUGAGCAAAUGGUGAAGCACAGCUGCCAACUGCUGAAAACAGCAUGAGCAACUCUCAAGAAGUGGUGACCUGCAACACUGGGCAGUGUGACUCCAGGGACUCCAAGGACCAAGCCUCCUGGGUUUGGCUGGCAGCUGUGAUUCAAGGAGGGGUCAGGCUCCAAGAUGUGCUGUUUCCUGCCUGAUGCACUUUGCAGAGGCACAUCAGAGAAGCUAAGCCUGAUGGACUCUGAACACUGGCUGGGUUUGGGUUGUUUUGGUUUGGUCUUUUUUUCUGGCAACAAGAUUAAAACUGCACCUAGGGAUUUAUCCAUCCUUUUGCUGAUCUCGAUGUGAACUGUGCAGUGAAAUCCCUGUACACAGUGCUGACUAUCUCCCAGGGUGUUGCUUAAACUGUGACUGAGCACAAAUGGAAAACAUUGUCUUGUUGAAGUCAGCACACAGAAUUAAUCCCUUCAAGUGGGGAAAGAAUUCAUUUCACUCUGUAAGAUAAAUACAAAGUGUGGUAAAGUCAGAGGUGUUCAGCUUAGCUGCUUUUAAAAGGAGAUGUCGGAGAUCCUGUAUGCUUGGGACACAUUUUUUUUCAUAAUGAUUUUUAUUUUUUCCAUUAUGGCUAGUUUAUAAUGUUCAUUCAAUCUUCUACUGUACAUCAUGGUGACCCAGUUACACAUACAUGUACACAUUCUUUUUUCUCACAUGAUCAUGCUCCAUCAUAAGUGGCUAGACAUAGUUCCCAGUACUAUACAGCGGGAUCUCAUUGCUUAUCCAUUCCAAAGGCAAUUAGUUUGCAUCUACUAACCCCAAAUUCCCAGUCCAUCCCACUCCCUCCCCAUCCCCUUUGGCAACCACAAGUUUGUUCUCCAUGUCCAUGAUUUUCUUUUCUGUGGAAGGGUUCAUUUGUGCUGUAUAUUAGAUUCCAGAUAUAAGUGAUACCCUAUGGUAUUUGUCUUUCUCUUUCUGACUUACUUCACUUAGUAUGAGAGUCUCUAGUUCCAUCCAUGUUGCUGCAAAUGGCAUUAUUUUGUUCUUUUUUAUGGCUGAGUAGUGUUCCAUGGUGUAUAUAUACCACAUCUUCUUAAUCCAUUCAUCUGUCGAUGGACAUUUGGGUUGUUUCCAUGCCUUGGCUAUUGUGAAUAGUGCUGCAGUGAACAUACAGGUGCAUGUGUCUUUUUCAAGGAAAGUUUUGUCAAGGUAUAUGCCCGAGAGUGGGAUUUCUGGGUCAUAUGGUAGUUCUAUGUAGUUUUCUAAGGUAUCUCCACACUGUUUACCAUAGUGGUUGUAUCAGUUUACAUUCCCAUCAACAGUGCAGGAGGGUUUGGGGAUGCUUUUUAAUGCCGCUCUGAUGUCUUAUGUGAUUGUGAAGAAGUUUGGUUUGGUUUUUUAAAUGUACUUAAUAUAUAAGGUUUUUAACCUGCCCUUAUUCACUUUCAGUGCUUUUUAACAUUGGGAAAGGUAAAAACUUGAAGUGUCUUGACCUUUUUUUCCAGCUCUUAGAUGCAUAAGUAUAUUAUUUAAGUAAAUAUGAAAUGAGGAACAUCUCAGUAUUUAAGGCCAGUAUGAAAUAAGGCUCUGUACUUUCUACCCCAUCCUUGAUUUUAUUUUUACCUUGACUCUCAAUUUCUUGCUGUGGCUUUUUUGUUUUUGUUUUUUUUUCCUAAAUUUUGUUCAUGAACCAUCUGCUUGGAAUCACCAGCACUGUUCAUUUCAAUGUUUUUCUGAAACUUUGGGGUAAAGGAAAUCAGGUCACAGAACAUGCCUCUCCAAUGAUUACCCAGUGAAGUGAACAAACAUUGUUUUCCAAAAGGCCAGAAAUUUAUCAGCAGCAAUCAAAAUUGAAAAAAGAUAAAACUUCAUGCUAUUAACUUUGAAAAGUAGCUCUUAAUCUUGCUUACCACACCCACUUCCCAGAAAGAGAACCCAGGAGAGGCGAGUCAACAGAAUUCUGAUAUCCUGAACUCAUCUGGAUUUGAAGAGGAGAGGCUGGAGGAUACAUGUGGGAACUCUGAGCAUAGGAGUCAUUCUCUGCAGAUCUUGGCUGAAGCAAGAGGGGAUGACAGGGCCAGCUGUUCUCCAAGGUCAUUACUGAGUUGGAGGAGCCAACCAGAGCCUGUGGGUUAGGAAAUUCCCGGCCCUCACUGGGAAGACUGGGAAUGCCCUGCUAAAGGACAAUUUACUGGAAUCUGGGAUUCAGAAGAGAGAAUGCAGUCCAGGAUCGCAGCAAGGGCUGCAGGCAGUUCAGAGCAGCUCAUCAUCUCCUCAAGUCUCAGGCUACAGAAAAGUAAAUAGAAAAUCACAUCCAGCCCCUAAAUAGCUGUCCACUGGGCUGAUAGUUUCCAGGGAAAAUCCAAAGAACGACAGUAGGUCAGAGAAACUGGAAAGUACACAGAACUGCCCAACUGUAGCUGGAGCAAAAUGUCAAUAAAUGGGCACGUUAAAAAAAAGUCAUGUCAAAGUUGUAAAUAUGCCAGAGAGAGAAAGAAACAAGAACCAGACAUGAAGGAAACAGCAUGGAAGAAAACAAAACCCAAAAAAACAGAAGAAAACUCC
rnacentral:lncRNA from 1 species